GCUCUCUAUCCUCCCAGUGUUUGGAAUUAUCAGUUAAUUUUGUGUGCAGGGUUAGCUCAGCAGCUCCUGUCGUGGGCACCCUUAGCAGCACCAAGAACUGAGAAGCUAAUAUCAAAUAAAUUUCAGCUGCAUAUGCUAUCACCUGAGCUGGAAUAGUUUUCCAGGUGUUUAUUCAGGAGCGAUCCUUAAUAUUGAAGAUAUUUCACACAUCAGUAUGGGGCCACUACCCUUGAGGAAAAUUUUCCAAAGUCAAGCCAUGUAGGAGUGACCUUCUUUUAAUUACCUGGUUUUCCAUUGCUGAUGAAGGGAAGCAAAGCUGAAUGUGAUUGAUAUUCUAUUCUUACUGCUCUACUCUGAAAUUCAGCAAAUAGAGGUGAAGCACAGAGAAGUGGAGGUUUUAAUGGCUGGUACGUGGUCAGAGGCUCCUGAGACAGUGGGUUUUUGCAAGGCAGGACUCCAACAUCCAAAGUAUGUAGAAAAUCCUGACAUGUUUCAGUAAGUAUGAUUUGGACAGCAGUUCCUGAAAUUGCCAUUUUAACAAAUGUGUUGGAUGAUGACUCUGACAGUAGAAUUUUAUUGCCUGCUUUUUAAGAAGAGGGGUGGGACUGUUUUAAGUGACUGCUGGAGAUUUGUAAGAAAAGUCUGUGCAGGCAAUUAUGAAUAUUAGUCACUGUAAACAGAACACACAAGGUUUUCUCUUUGAUAAUUACCCAAUAUUUGGCGCAGCUUCCUGCUCUCCAGCUCCACCCAACUGAGCUUUAAGUCACCUUAUAAGAGCACCCAAUUUUAAGAAUCCAGCACCUUGUAGCUGUGGAAAUAUAUUGAACUUUGCAAGAACCCAAGUGAUAGAGCUUUACUGGGAGACUGUAGACUGCUGUGCUGGUUUUGUAGCAUUCCUCUCUGCUAAAAAGCUUAGAUUGUACUGAGUGAUCAGUAUCAUCCCCCUCAUUCAGGUUUACAGUGGCAGAGACAGUCGUUCAAGUAAAACAUUUUCCUAGAAACACCCUUUCCUGUGCAACUAUAUUUAUCAACAGUGGGUUUGUUUGCACAUGACAUACAUUUCUUUAAAUACCCAGAACAAUGUGACCCACUCCUGCACUUAUUUGAGGAGUGAAGCUACUAUUCAUUGGGGACAAUGUAAAUCAAUGUAAGAGGUAUUUCUGGUUUUUGGGCUAAAUAAUAGUGAUUACUGUUUCACUGCUGCAUGGCCAUUCUGAAGAGAGACAUUUGCCUUUUGUAUUAUCAGAGAAAUAUGAAGACCACCAAUAAAUUAUUUCUUUAUCUGCUGUAGGCAAUAUGUCAUUUAUAUGUAUAUUAUAUGCAUGUAUUAUAUGUAUAUUGUGAGAAUUAGUUAUAUUUUCUUACUUCCUGCCAAACAGAUUGAAAAGACUGACAGGUAACAUGAAAAGGAAUUUAUCAGUUAUUUUCUAUGUUAGAUUCGCUGCUAUCUUUUGUUUUAUUAGAGCAUAAUAAUAAUAAAUAAUUAAAUUCUCAUUACUGAGGAGAUUUAAAUUUGUGAAAAAUCUCAUAUUCCUUUAAGGGAAAGGGAGAAUAAGGAAUGUGUGAGUCUAGAAAUCCCAGGGGAGUAAAUUCUUUUUAAAAGAAUGCUUCUGCAAUUCUAAUGACCGAGCUUAUCAAAUGUCACUACACUUGCAUAGGUAUUCUAGAUUAAUUAUUUUUUUACCAAAUCUUUUUUUUUGCCUUGCAAAUAUUCAUUUUUCUUUUGUUCAGCUAAUCAGGUACCAAGUACCUGCUCAUUGUUAUCUCCAUGUUAACUUGAAUGUUGCGACGUAAUUGAACUCUUUCUUUAACCUCGUCUAACAACGAACUCAAGUGAAUUGAAAAUCUCUGAUAUCAUCAUAAUCCUUUGCUUAUCUUUCUUUGCUUAGGAGGUAAAACACCCAUUGAGCUUGACUCACCUGCAAGAUUUACACAAAGUUACUACUCUGAAAAUUGUUGAUUCAGUCUCUUCAGAUUCCCAUGGUUUAUGCAGUUGCAUUCAACUUAUCUGCCUAUCCAACCAUUGUUCUGCUGCUCUAUCUCUGCUGUUGCUAGAAUUUAAAUUCAAAAACUCUUUGCAUCAGGGAUUGUAGGCCGAUUCCAGCUCUUUUGUCUCCAAUGGGAGUGGUGUCAGUAGCUUCUGUAGGUCAGGAUUUGCUUCCUAACCUUUGCUGUGCUCUUGAAUCACUGAUGAACAGUGUGAUCUCAAUAAUACUGUACCAAUAUGUAGAAUUGUCUGCAUUUCUGGUGUACAUGUAUAGUCACAUCUGCCACACUGAUAUGAGGACACCUGCCCCAUAAUAGUAAAUGCAGUCUCUGAUUGAUUUGGGUAUGGGAGAAAUUGCUUAAAAAGCUUUUUUCUUACAGUGCUUAUCAUAAACAGAAUGUGGCGGGUUCCUGACAUUCAUCCUGCAUUCAGUGUAUCUUAUACCUGGAUUUUCAUUUCACAAAUCUGGAGAUAGCCUGCCUUCAUGGUAAUUAAAAGUAAAUCACAGAAGAAAAAAAACGGGACUUGUGCUUUCAUUUUUAUUAGCUCAUCCCUGGACCCUGAGAGAGAUUUUCUUUCUUGUGCUGCAUUGUGAUUGAGACAGAAUAUAAUCCACUGUUAAUAAUUUUCCUUAAAAGCAUAGGUAAUGCCAUCAGGUUUGCAGAACACCUCCUCAUCUUCCACAACACUGCACUGUGUUUACUCCUAAAUUCCUACCUGUUUCUUCAGCUCCUAGGGCUGAAGGCCAGUGAAAAGCAGAUUGAGGACUUUGCAAAAUACAGUUUUUAAGCCCAUGCAGCUAGAUUGUUUCUCUCUCCUUUUUAUUUAUCAGAACUUUCCCCAUAAUGCUUUGGGUUAGUGGAGAAAAUCAGGCAAUAAGCUCAGGGUCUUUUUUUUCCAUUAUCUGUCUCCAACUGUUUGGCCAGAAUCUGGCUGUUGAAUUGCCCUCUAGAGCUUUAAUUUAUUUUGAUAGUGUAGGUUUAGAGACCUGUCCUCUCCUCUCUCAGCUGUGUGGGAGAAAAGAGGAACACAGCCAAGUCGUGCUCUGGUGCUGCAGAGCUGCUUGCACCUUUCCAAGGGCUUACAUGCAGGGG